AUGGAGGCACCACUGAAACUCAGCAAGGAUAGCUCCGUGAAGGCGGUGGAUGCUACGCUCUACCGCAACAUCAUUGGGAGCCUCAGGUAUCUCGUGGACACCCGACCGUACAUCAUGUUCGUUGUCGGAUACGUGAGUAGGUUCACAGAAGCCUUGGCAAGCUAUCACCUCGCUGCCGUCAAGCACCUGCUCUGGUACAUCGCGGGUACGCUCACGCAUGGAUGCGUGUAUCGUCGUGGCGACGACGAGAGCUUGGUCGGAUACAGCAACUCCGACCAUGCUGGUGAUGUGGAUUCUCGAAAGAGCACCUCGGGCAUACUAUUCCUUCUCGGGAAUAGUCCCGUCAGCUGGCAAUCGGUGAGGCAGAAGGUUGUCGCCGUAUCUUCGUGUGAGGCGGAGUACAUCGCGGCAGCUACAACGGCCUGUCAAGGCAUUUGGCUUGCUCGCCUUCUUAGCGAGAUGCUGAAUUAG
rnacentral:rRNA from 1 species